GAAAUGCGAUAAGUAGUGUGAAUUGCAGAAUUCAGUGAAUCAUCGAAUCUUUGAACGCACAUUGCGCCCUUUGGUAUUCCUUAGGGCAUGCCUGUUCGAGCGUCAUCUAAACCUUCAAGCCCUGCUUGGUGUUGGGUGCCUGUCCCGCCUCCGCGCGCGGACUCACCUCAAAUCCAUUGGCGGCCCCCGCGUCGGCCACGAGCGCAGCAGAAACGCGAACUCGUGAGCCCGUCCGGGCGGCUCCCAGAAGCUAUACCCACCCAGUUUGACCUCGGAUCAGGUAGGGAUACCCGCUGAACUUAAGC
rnacentral:misc_RNA from 1 species